ACGGGUGAGUAAUAUAUCGGAACGUGCCCUAGAGUGGGGGAUAACUAGUCGAAAGACUAGCUAAUACCGCAUACGAUCUACGGAUGAAAGUGGGGGAUCGCAAGACCUCAUGCUCCUGGAGCGGCCGAUAUCUGAUUAGCUAGUUGGUGGGGUAAAAGCCUACCAAGGCAACGAUCAGUAGCUGGUCUGAGAGGACGACCAGCCACACUGGGACUGAGACACGGCCCAGACUCCUACGGGAGGCAGCAGUGGGGAAUUUUGGACAAUGGGGGCAACCCUGAUCCAGCAAUGCCGCGUGAGUGAAGAAGGCCUUCGGGUUGUAAAGCUCUUUUGUCAGGGAAGAAACGGUAGUAGCGAAUAACUACUACUAAUGACGGUACCUGAAGAAUAAGCACCGGCUAACUACGUGCCAGCAGCCGCGGUAAUACGUAGGGUGCAAGCGUUAAUCGGAAUUACUGGGCGUAAAGCGUGCGCAGGCGGUUGUGUAAGUCAGAUGUGAAAUCCCCGGGCUCAACCUGGGAAUUGCAUUUGAGACUGCACGGCUAGAGUGUGUCAGAGGGGGGUAGAAUUCCACGUGUAGC
rnacentral:rRNA from 1 species